rnacentral:rRNA from 1 species
UCGAACGAUGAAGACCGUGCUUGCACGGUUGGAUUAGUGGCGAACGGGUGAGUAUCACGUGAGUAACCUUCCCUUAACUCUGGGAUAAGCCCGGGAAACUGGGUCUAAUACCGGAUACGACCAGUCCUCGCAUGGGGUGCUGGUGGAAAGAUUUAUCGGUUUUGGAUGGACUCGCGGCCUAUCAGCUUGUUGGUGAGGUAAAGGCUCACCAAGGCGAUGACGGGUAGCCGGCCUGAGAGGGUGACCGGCCACACUGGGACUGAGACACGGCCCAGACUCCUACGGGAGGCAGCAGUGGGGAAUAUUGCACAAUGGGCGAAAGCCUGAUGCAGCGACGCCGCGUGCGGGAUGACGGCCUUCGGGUUGUAAACCGCUUUCAGCAGGGAAGAAGCGCAAGUGACGGUACCUGCAGAAGAAGCGCCGGCUAACUACGUGCCAGCAGCCGCGGUAAUACGUAGGGCGCGAGCGUUAUCCGGAAUUAUUGGGCGUAAAGAGCUCGUAGGCGGUUUGUCACGUCUGCUGUGAAAGCCCGGGGCUCAACCCCGGGUGUGCAGUGGGUACGGGCAGACUAGAGUGCAGUAGGGGAGACUGGAAUUCCUGGUGUAGCGGUGAAAUGCGCAGAUAUCAGGAGGAACACCGAUGGCGAAGGCAGGUCUCUGGGCUGUUACUGACGCUGAGGAGCGAAAGCAUGGGGAGCGAACAGGAUUAGAUACCCUGGUAGUCCAUGCCGUAAACGUUGGGCACUAGGUGUGGGGAACAUUCCACGUUUUCCGCGCCGUAGCUAACGCAUUAAGUGCCCCGCCUGGGGAGUACGGCCGCAAGGCUAAAACUCAAAGGAAUUGACGGGGGCCCGCACAAGCGGCGGAGCAUGCGGAUUAAUUCGAUGCAACGCGAAGAACCUUACCAAGGCUUGACAUGGACCGGACC